rnacentral:rRNA from 1 species
AUGUCGCGCCUCCAUCCCCGCUACUUCUCCAGCUCCAUCUCCUCACUCGCCGACGAGCUGCUGAGCGAACUCCACCAUCAUCUGGGCUCAGGGACGCUCAGUCCGCAGCUCGCACACCAACUGUUCGACGAAAUGCUGCGCCAACCCGUCCCAGUAUCAUCGCGUGCACUCAAUGGCUUAUUUGCUGCCCUCGCGCGUACGCCACCCUCCACCACCUGCACAGAUAGCCCUGCCCUCGCCAUCAAUCUCUUCAACCGCAUGGCCCGAGCAGGUCGCGGCAGGGUGAUAGCACCCAGCAGUCACACCUACAGCAUACUAAUUGAAUGCUGCUGCCUCGCGCGCCGUCCGGACCUUGGGCCUUCCUUCUUCGCUCACCUCCUCAAGACAGGCGUCACGGCAGACGUCGUCAUCUUCAGUGGCUUAUUCAAGUGCCUCUGUGACAUGAAGCGGGCAGACGAGGCUCAGGACAUACUGCUCCAUAGGAUACCUGACGACCUGCAUGAUGCCAUCUCCUACUCAGUAAUUCUCAAGAGCUUCUGCAACAAUGGAUUGAGCCAGCGUGCGCUUGACCUGCUCCGGAUGAUGGCCAAAAAAGGUGCUGACCACUCCCCGGGUGUGUUUGCAUACAGCAUGGUAAUCCAUGGCUUCUUUAAAGAGGGUGAAGUAAGCAAAGCAUGCGAUCUAUUCCAUGAAAUGAUACAACAGGGGCCUGUGCCUAAUGUGGUGACGUACAACUCUGUUAUCGAUGCGCUAUGCAAAGCAAGAGCAAUGGACAAGGCAGAGGUGGUUCUUCGAUCAAUGGUUCAUAAUGGUGUCCAACCAAAUGUUGUGACAUAUAAUAGCUUGAUCCAAGGAUAUUCAACUGUGGGACAGUUGAAAGAAGUCGCUAGGUUGUUGAAAGUGAUGAGAAGCCAAGGUGUUAUGCCAAGUGUUGUUACCUACAACUCACUCAUGGGCUACCUUUGCAAGCAUGGAAGAAUCAAAGAAGCUGAGGAAAUAUUUUUUUCCAUGACCCUGAAUGGCCGAAAACCAGAUAUAGUCUCAUACUCUAUUAUGCUCCGUGGGUACGCUAUAGAAGGAUCCCUUGUUAAAAUGAUUGAUCUCUGUGAGCUGAUGGCAAGAGAUGGAGUUGUACCUGAACUCCAUUGUUUCAACAUACUGAUUAGUGCAUAUGCUAAGUAUGGAAUGAUGGAUGUGGCUAUGCUUUUCUUUGAAGACAUGUUGAAGCAGGGGCUGAACCCUGGUGAUUUCAUUUAUUUAACUGUGAUAUCUGCAUUUUGUAAGAUGGGCAGGAUGGAUGAUGCUCUGGAAAAAUUCAAUGAGAUGAUUGAUAGGGGGGUACCACUUGACACAAAAAUUUACAUGUGCAUGAUUGAGGGUUAUUUGAAUCGUGGUGAUUCUGUGAAAGCCGAGGAAUUUAUUACCAAAAUGAAGAGUAGGGAUAUUCGUCAUAGGCCGCGGAAGGGUAAUUGA